rnacentral:rRNA from 1 species
UGGGGAAUUUUGCACAAUGGGGGAAACCCUGAUGCAGCGACGCCGCGUGAUUUAGAAGGCCUUCGGGUUGUAAAAAUCUUUUCUAUGGGAAGAAAAUGACAGUACCAUAGGAAUAAGGACCGGCUAAUUACGUGCCAGCAGCCGCGGUAAUACGUAAGGUCCGAGCGUUGUCCGGAAUCAUUGGGCGUAAAGGGUACGUAGGCGGGUAAGCAAGUUAGAAGUGAAAUCCUAUAGCUCAACUAUAGUAAGCUUUUAAAACUGCUCAUCUUGAGGUAUGGAAUGGAAAGUGGAAUUCCUAGUGUAGCGGUGAAAUGCGCAGAUAUUAGGAGGAGUACCGGUGGCGAAGGCGACUUUCUGGCCAUAACCUGACGCUGAGGUACGAAAGCGUGGGUAGCAAACAGG